UACGGAGGGUGCAAGCGUUAUCCGGAUUUAUUGGGUUUAAAGGGCUCGUAGGCGGUUUGUUGCGUCGGGAGUGAAAACUUACAGCUUAACUGUGAGCGUGCUUCCGAUACGGGCAGACUUGAGGUAUUCAGGGGAGAACGGAAUUCCUGGUGUAGCGGUGAAAUGCGCAGAUAUCAGGAGGAACACCGGUGGCGAAGGCGGCCUGCUGGGCAGUGGCUGACACUGAGGCGCGACAGCGUGGGGAGCAAACAGG
rnacentral:rRNA from 1 species